AACGAACGCUGGCGGCAGGCUUAACACAUGCAAGUCGAACGCCCCGCAAGGGGAGUGGCAGACGGGUGAGUAACGCGUGGGAAUCUACCUGACUCUGCGGAACAACUCCGGGAAACUGGAGCUAAUACCGCAUACGCCCGAAAGGGGAAAGGUUUACCGGAGUCAGAUGAGCCCGCGUUGGAUUAGCUAGUUGGUGGGGUAAAGGCCUACCAAGGCGACGAUCCAUAGCUGGUCUGAGAGGAUGAUCAGCCACACUGGGACUGAGACACGGCCCAGACUCCUACGGGAGGCAGCAGUGGGGAAUAUUGGACAAUGGGCGCAAGCCUGAUCCAGCCAUGCCGCGUGAGUGAUGAAGGCCCUAGGGUUGUAAAGCUCUUUCACCGGUGAAGAUAAUGACGGUAACCGGAGAAGAAGCCCCGGCUAACUUCGUGCCAGCAGCCGCAGUAACAC
rnacentral:rRNA from 1 species